rnacentral:lncRNA from 1 species
CGCGCAACCUGCCGCCGGCCGGGACCCUGCGGCGAGUGCCGGAACCCGGCCGGGCGGGGCCUCCCGCGGCCCGGCCGCUUUAUUGGGUCACCGGCCUCGCCCACCGCCCUGCCAGCCGCAGCCAUCUCGGCGGGCGCGCCGCUCGCAGCCAGCGCCCCAUCCCCAGGCCUGCACCACGGUGAAGGCUGGGGCGCCGGGUUUUUACUCCCACGUCCUGCCAACUCGAGCUGACAAGGCGGGCAAUCCACCAGCGGGAGCGUUGGCAGGCCCGGGGUCAGAUCCUGAUUCAGCCAGUUAAUUGGAGCUGAACACUGCCCCGAGAAUGCAACAGAACUUCAGCUCUGUCCCAAGGUCGUCAGCCACAGCUCCAAGUUUCUUAGCAUCAGCUUUUUCUGAACAAAAUAGUGCAUCCUGCUGGAAUCACUACUGUAAACUGAGUAUAAAGGAAAAUAAACCCUCUUUUUCUUAUCCACUAUGUUCCCUACUCCCGUGCUUUUCCCAGUGCUCCAGGAAAAAAAUGAAGAAGAAGAGGAGAAAGAAUAAGAGGAUGAAGA